rnacentral:rRNA from 1 species
GACGAACCGUGCGAACGUUGUUCGGAUUCACUGGGCUUAAAGGGCGCGUAGGCGGGCUCGCCAGUCAGGGGUGAAAUCCUCCGGCUCAACCGGAGAAUAGCCUUUGAUACUGCGAGCCUUCGAGGAAGGUAGGGGACAUGUGGAACUUCCGGUGGAGCGGUGAAAUGCGUAGAUAUCAGGAGGAACACCGAUGGCGAAGGCAGGUCUCUGGGCCACUACUGACGCUGGAGAAGCGAAAGCGUGGGGAGCGAACAGG